rnacentral:rRNA from 1 species
GGACUACUGGGGUAUCUAAUCCCGUUCGCUCCCCUAGCUUUCGUGCCUCAGCGUCAGAAGAGACCCAGUGAGCCGCUUUCGCCACUGGUGUUCCUUAGGAUAUCAACGCAUUUCACCGCUCCACCCUAAGUUCCGCUCACCUCUGUCUCCCUCAAGCACAGCAGUUUUGGGCGCAAUUCCUCGGUUAAGCCGAGGGCUUUCACACCCAACUUUCUGCGCCGCCUACGCACCCUUUAAGCCCAGUGAUUCCGAAUAACGUUCGUACGGUUCGUCUUACCGCGGCGGCUGGCAC